rnacentral:rRNA from 1 species
UUAUUUGAGAGUUUGAUCCUGGCUCAGGACGAACGCUGGCGGCGUGCCUAAGGUAUGCAAGUCGAACGCGUCCGCCUUUGGCGGAUGGCAUGGCGAACGGGUGAGUAACGCGUGGGAAUCUACCCCCAAGACGGGGAUAACCCCGAGAAAUCGGGGAUAAUACCCGAUGGUCCCGUGAGGGUAAAGAUUUAUCGCUUGGGGAUGAGCCCGCGUCCCAUCAGCUAGUUGGUAGGGUAAUGGCUUACCAAGGCUAUGACGGGUAGGGGGCCUGAGAGGGUGUUCCCCCACAAUGGCACUGAGACAAGGGCCAUACACCUACGGGUGGCAGCAAUCGGGAAUCUUGCACAAUGGACGAAAGUCUGAUGCAGCGACGCCGCGUGGAGGAUGAAGGUCGAAAGAUUGUAAACUCCUCAAUUGCCAGUAAUGGCGAGGAUAAAGCACCGGCUAACUACGUGCCAGCAGCAGCGGUAAUACGUAGGGUGCGAGCGUUGUCCGGAUUUACUGGGCGUAAAGGGCGCGUAGGCGGUCCGUUAAGUCUGGUGUGAAAUCUCCCGGCUCAACUGGGAGAAUCGCGCGAGAGAUGGACGGACUAGAGGUAGAUAGGGGGUGGCGGAACCUCACAAGGAGGGGUGAAAUCCAAUGAUCUGUGAGGGAACACCGAAGGCGAAGGCAGCCACCUGGGUCUUUCCUGACGCUGAGGGACGAAAGCUAGGGUAGCGAAACGGAUUAGAUACCCGUGUAGUCCUAGCCGUAAACGAUGGGCACUAGAUGUUUGCGUUAAAGUCAGUGUCGAAGCUAACGCGUUAAGUGCCCCGCCUGGGGAGUACGGUCGCAAGGCUAAAACUCAAAGGAAUUGACGGGGGCCCGCACAAGCGGUGGAGCGUGUGGUUUAAUUCGAUGAUAAGCGAAGAACCUUACCAGGGUUUGACAUUCCGGCGACAGCUGCGGAAACGCAGUCUUCCUUCGGGACGUCGGAACAGGUGUUGCAUGGCUGUCGUCAGCUCGUGGCGUGAGCUGUAUGGUUAAGUCCCAUAACGAGCGCAACCCCUACCGUUAGUUAGAAAUGUCUAACGGGACUGCCCCGGCAACGGGGAGGAAGGUGGGGACGACGUCAAGUCAGCAUGGCCCUUAUGCCCUGGGCGACACACACGCUACAAUGGCGGCUACAGCGGGUUGCAAUGCGGUAACGCGGAGCUAAUCCUUCAAAAGCCGUCUCAGUUCGGAUUGGGGUCUGCAACUCGACCCCAUGAAGCCGGAAUCGCUAGUAAUGGCGGGUCAGCCAGACCGCCGUGAAUACGUUCUCGGGUCUUGUACACACCGCCCGUCAAGUGGGGAAAGUCGAAGCUCGCCGAAACGCGUCUGACGCGUCAAGCGGGAGUCGGCGAUCAACACUAAGUCGUAACAAGGUAGCCGUAGGGGAAUCUGCGGCUGGAUCACCUCCUUUCUAAAGGAGU